rnacentral:rRNA from 1 species
UUAUUAAAAACAUGGCUUAUUGAAUAUAAUUUUAGGUYUGACCUGCCCAAUGGUGUAUAUAUGUAUAUUAAAUGGCUGCGGUAUACUGACCGUGCAAAGGUAGCAUAAUCAUUAGUUUUUUAAAUGAAAGCUUGUAUGAAAGGUUUGAUAAGAAAAUAGCUGUCUCUAUUUAAAUUUUUUAGAAUUUUAUUUUUAAGUUAAAAAGCUUAAAUAUUUAUAAAAGACGAGAAGACCCUAUAGAGUUUAAUAAUAAAAGUAAUAAAUAAUAAUUUAGGAUUGUAAAAUUUAUUAUAUAAAUUAUUUAGUUGGGGUGAUUGAAAAAUUUAAUAAACUUUUUUUUAAAAAAUUUCACUUAUUUGUGAAUAUUUGAUCCUAAUUUUUAGAUUAUAAGAUAAAAUUACCUUAGGGAUAACAGCGUAAUUUUUUAAAAAGUUCUUAUUAAAAAAAAAGAUUGCGACCUCGAUGUUGGAUUAAAAAAAAUUAUUGGUGUAGAAGCUAAUAAAUUAGGUCUGUUCGACCUUUAAAAUUUUACAUGAUCKGRGUUUAAACCGGSGUAAGCCAG